GAAAUCCCAUUCAAUGGGGGACUUGGUCCCAUCAAGGCCUCAGGAGGGAAGGCUGAGCAUGGGGUUCCCACAGCCCCAGCCAGCCAGCAGCGUGCCCUGGGGCCCCUGACUCCACCUGUGGGUCAGAGUCCCUCCCCCAGGGCCCAAGUCCCAGUCCAGAGGGACCUGGCUUCAACCCGAGUCCUAGGAGGAGAGGGGCACCGCAGGCCUUCAGGUGACCACGCAGGGGACCAGGGCACUGCAAGCCCUGAUGCUGUAAGGAUUAACAUCAGAGAACCUGGGCAAGCCAGGCCAGAGUCGCUGAGCCCGUGCAGUGAUGAGAAUGUGGGGGGCUGGCUCAAGGGGGUCAACAGCUGUGAACACUGCUGCCUCUUCCCGGCCUCACUGCUGCAGUGCAGGCAGUCUGCACCCCGGAGACUGGCCCACCAGCACCCCGAGUGCCCUAGUCCGCUAUGCCAACAUGGCACCCAGAGACUUCGCAGCCCUGCCUGCCGUACCACCCCCCUCCUGGAAGCCUUGUCCUGCAACCUAGCCCCUGCCGCAGCCACAGCAGGCACCACUGCCAAGCGCCUUCCAGCCGGGCUUCCCAGAGGGCAGAGGCGCCCUGCAGUCAUUGCCUCAGCCACUCACACUGUGAAGAUAGUUUCAUCUACAUUCCCAUGUUCCCACCAAAGAGAAUCGCUGCAGAGGAUGCUCUUGAUCCUGAGGUGGGGAAAACGGCACACCAGGUGGAUGGAGUCAGCUCCUUUCCCCAGCCACCACGACUGCUGGAUGGGCCCGUGGACAAAGUGGCCAUCAGACAGGAAUGAGACCCAAGAGGCUCAGCAUCCUGCUUGUACCCUGACCAGGAUGACCAGGCCGACACCACUGCCGAGUGCCCCAUCUGCUGAGAGACUUGGUGUCGAUCCCUGGGCUGGCACUGUUUCCCAGGAGGACCGGUUGGCCACCUGUGGGCAGGCUGCCCACACUGUGGAGAGGGUUGAGAUCGGCUUUCACUGCAGAGAGCUCCUACCUGGACACAGACUCGCCGGCCCUGCCUGUUGCCAUCACAGCAGCCCACAGGGCAUUGCUUGCGACCAGGGUACCCCAUUCACAGUGAGGGACAUGGAGCCAUGGCCCUGA
ensembl:lncRNA